CGGAAACCACCUGAGUCCAGGCCUUCUCCACGCUCUCGAACUUCAACGCGUUCUUUGACCGUUUGUUGUACUCUGUCACCGCGAACUGCCCGAUCUCCAUCACGUGCUUCUCCGUGGGGUCUAUCGGAGUCCAUCCCCCAAACAUAGGCUUAAACGAGGUGAGACUCUUGAAAUGCUCCCAUGGCUUCUCCCAAACGACAGCUACAAAUUUCUUGGUCGAAGGUCCGUCCUUGACGACCAAGAUCAACCGGUAAUUGGUGCUGGAAACCACUUGAGUCUCGGCCUUCUCAACGCUCUCGAACUUCAACGCGCUCUUUGACCGUUUGUUGUACUCCGUCACCGCGUGCUGCCCGAUCUCCAUCACGUGCUUCUCCGUGGGGUCUAUCGGAGUCCAUCCCCUAGGCAAAGGCUUAAACGAGGUGAGACUCUUGAAAUGCUCCCAUGGCUUCUCCCAAACGACAACUUCAAAUUUCUUGGUCGAAGCUCCGUCCUUGACGACCAAGAUCAGCCGGUAAUUGGUGCCGGAAACCACCUGAGUCCAGGCCUUCUCCACGCUCUCGAACUUCAACGCGCUCUUUGACCGUUUGUUGUACUCUGUCACCGCGAACUGCCCGAUCUCCAUCACGUGCUUCUCCGUGGGGUCUAUCGGAGUCCAUCCCCCAAACAUAGGCUUAAACGAG
rnacentral:lncRNA from 1 species